UCACGAUGAACGCUGGCGGCGUGCUUAACACAUGCAAGUCGAACGAGAAAGCACCUUCGGGUGUAAGUAGAAUGGCGAACGGGUGAGUAACACGUGAGCAACCUGCCUCUCACUUCGGAAUAACUCAGAGAAAUUUGUGCUAAUACCGAAUACUCCGUAUCUUUCGCAUGUUUGAUACGGGAAAGCCUUGUGCGGUGAGAGAUGGGCUCGCGGCCCAUUAGAUAGUUGGUGGGGUAACGGCCUACCAAGUCGACGAUGGGUAGCCGGGUUGAGAGACCGACCGGCCACAUUGGGACUGAGACACGGCCCAGACUCCUACGGGAGGCAGCAGUGGGGAAUUUUGCGCAAUGGGGGAAACCCUGAACCGCAGCAACGCCGCGUGCGGGAUGAAGGCCUUCGGGUUGUAAACCGCUUUCAGUAGGGAAGAAAAUGACGGUACCUACAGAAGAAGCUCCGGCUAACUACGUGCCAGCAGCAGC
rnacentral:rRNA from 1 species